rnacentral:lncRNA from 1 species
GAAGUCGCCGCCCGCGUCUGUCCAAACUUAGUCCCAAACUCAGGAGGUUCCUGUCCCAAGAAGCAAUGUAAAGUUUGAAACGAGCCGAGCGCGGUGGCUCACGCCUGUAAUCCCAGCACUUUGGGAGGCCGAGGCUGGCGAAUCAUUUGAGGUCAGGAGUUCGAGACCAACCUGGGCAACAUGGGGAAACGCCGUCUAUACUAAAAAUACAAAAAUUAGCUGGGCGUGGUGGCGCACGCCUUUAACCCCAGCUACUUGGUGAGGCUGAGGCAGGAGAAUCGCUUGAUCCGGGGAGACGGAGGUUGCAGUGAGCCGAGAUUGUGUCACUGCACUCCAGCCUGGGUGACAGAGUGACACUCCAUCUCAAAAAAAAAAAUUUUGAAACGGCCGCACCCUCGCCGGCCCUGCGUCGUCCCCGAAAACCAGACGCCCUGGGGCGCGGGGCCAAGUGCGGCGACCUCCUGCCCUCCCUCUGCGGCUCCCUGGAAACCGGCCUGGACAACGGCACCUGGGCAUCCAUGCAACGGGACCACCGCCCGCUUAAAUUCCUGUUGUGGAACAAGGCUGGACGGUGAUGGGAAUGCUCAGGAUAUGUUAGGUUUUCUUUUUUUUUUGAGACGGAGUCUCGCUCUGUCGCCCAGGCUGGAGUGCAGUGGUGCGAUCUCGGCUCACUGCAAGCUCCGCCUCCCGGGUUCACGCCAUUCUCCUGUCUCAGCCUCCCGAGUAGCUGGGACUACAGGCGCCCGCCACUGCGCCCGUCUUAUUUUUUUGUAUUUUUAGUAGAGACGGGGUUUCACCGUGUUAGCCGGGAUCCAUCUCCUGACUUCGUGAUCCGCCCGCUUCGGCCUCCCAAAGUGCUGAGAUUACAGACGUGAGCCACCGCGCCCUGCCUAUAUUAGGUUUUUAAAUAGCAGGAGGCAAAGCUUUUCGGUGUGAUCCUGACUUCACUUGGGGAAAAAGGGCAGACACAGGGUCUCACUGUGUUGGCCAGGCUGGAGUGCGGCAGUCUGGAACUCCUGGGCCCAAGUGAUCCUCCAAUCAGCCUCACAAAGCACUGGAAUUACAGAUGGAGUUUUGCUCUUGUUGCCCAGGCUGGAGUACAAUGGCGCAAUCUCGGCUCACUGCAACCUCCGCCUCCGGGUUCAAGUGAUUCUCCUGCCUCAGCCUCCUGAGUAGCUGGGAUUACAGGAGCCUACUACCACGGCCAGCUAAUUUUUUUGUAUUUUUAGUAGAGACGGGGCUUUACCAUGUUGGCCAGGCUGGUUUCAAACUCCUGACCUCAGGUGAUCCACCCGCCUCGGCCUCCCAAACUGCUGGGAUUAUAGGCAUGAGCCACCGUGCCCGGCCCAUAGAUUACUUUUAUAAUCAAGUUUUUCUUUACUUUUUAAAGAGUAAAUUCUCUCACCUCAGGUAGCUCAGAGAGCUGCGCUGGAGGAGAAAAGCCAGUCCUGGCAGGAGCUCUGGUACCUGGGAAGCUGGAUGGAGAGCCUGGGCCAGAAUCCCGGACCCCUCACCUCUGCGGCCUAGCUUUGUGACCUUGGCAAAUCCAUUCUAUGCACCUCCAUUUCCUGUACAGUGGGGAUCCUUAUUUCUCUGGCACAGAUUGGUAUUUGUUCUGUAAAGCCCAGUACCACUUUAUUUUAUUUUAGUUAUUGAUUUUUUUGAGACAGGGCCUCACUCUGUUGCCAAGGCUGGAAUGCAGUGGCGAGAUCAUAGCUCACUGCAGCCUCAAACUCCUGGGCUCAGGCCAUCCUCCUGCCUCGGCCUCCUGAGUAGCUGGGACGACAGGCGUGCACCACUGCGCCUAGCUCCAGUACCAUGUUUAAACGGUGCUCAGAAAACGUGCUAAACUUGGUGGAUGGGAAUUGAAAAGAGAUUUAAUGUUUUAAAAAUCAAAGUCACUCAGCUGCAGUGCCACAUGGGAAGGAGGCCUGGAUGUGAAUGUUCCUGGGAGCUGAGAGCUCCUGUGACUGUCGCCAGUUUCCUGUGGUCUCCCACAGACUCAGGACAUCUCCCUCUGCUCCAGGACACCUCAGGACCACCAGAGGGCACUCAUCGCACCUUCACCCCUGGAAGGGAGCUGGUCCUGGGGCCAAAACCCACUGUGCCUGGGAAGCCCUUCCUGGCUUCUGCUCUCCUCAAUGUAUGACAGCCCUGAUUUACCCCCAGGGACUGUUGCCACUCGGGGUUGUAGAGUAAUAUGUAACCAGACUGGAGAACCACAGCAAUGCUCUCUCCUCUGCCCAUCACCUCCCCUUGGCCCCUCCCUCUUCAUCAGCCCCAUUUUGGAGAAGGGAGAAAGAAGGGAGAGGCAGCAGUCUCCUCCCAGGUGGGGCCGGACUCCAGGGAAGGAGAAUUUUCAGAAGUUGCUGGAGUUGCCGAAUCUGUCAGGGCCCAGGGUUCACAGAGCAGUGAUGGAGGAGAAAGGAGAGGAAGCAGAUCUAAGCACACAUGGGCAUCAAACCAGAGGAACAAAGUCACAUGCAGAGGGCUGCACAUAGACACAGGGAAACACACACACGGAGAUGCACAGAAACACGCAGACCCCAUGCAGGGACCUGCUUUCCCGCCACAGAGGAAAGCAAUCUGAUCAAACAGACCCACUGUGCACCCAGCCCUCCAUGCUUGGGGACAACACACCUACAAAAAUAUAAGAAAAAAAAGGAAAACUGCUCUGCCUGGGAUGCCUUGCUUGACUUUUCUUGUAAAUAAGCAUUUGAAUGUGUUUUGUUCUAGGAGCUUUCGAGGCAGGCACAAAGGGAGCCCUUUCUCAUGCAGGAAGGUCCCUCUGCAACCUCCCCCUUCCCUCCCCUUCCUGCCAUCCGCCUACAGGCUGAGGUGGCUUUAUUUCUGGGACCCGAGUGUGGAUACCUCCUGUUUUAGAGAACCCUGAGAACCACUGUGCUAUUUCCAAGUUAAACUCCAGGCCGAGAUGAAAUUAGGCUUCUUUUUCUUUCUCUUUUUUUUUUUUUUUUUUGAGAUGGAGUCUCACUCUGUUGCCCAGGCUGGAAUGCAGUGGCACGAUCCCAGCUCACUGCAACCUCUGCCUCCUGGGUUCAAGCGAUUCUCCUGCCUCACCCUCCCGAGUAGUUGGGAUUACAGGCACCUGCCACCACACCCAGCUAAUUUUUGUAUUUUUAGUAGAGACGGGGUUUCACCAUGUUGGCCAGGCUGGUCUCGAACACCUGACCGCGUGAUCCGCUGGCCUCGGCCUCCCAAAGUGCUGAGAUUACAGGAGUGAGCCACCAUGCCUGGCCAGAUUGGUGAUUUUUUUUAAUCACCUGCAGCUCCCAGUCAUUCACAGGCCUCUGCCCCAUCCCCUGUCCAUAUGGAAGCUGAGAGGGCCGCAGGGAGGGGCCUGUCCAGUGUGGCCGCAGCUCUUCCCAGGAGGGAAUCCCUGUCAUCCAAAAGUUUUCUUUCCCCUCCUCUGGCCAUUCCAGGCUAAAGGAAUGAAAGCUCCCUCUCUCUAGGCUGGAAAACAGGUAAACGAUAUGUAAUUUAUGAGCACCAUCAGCCCAAAGUGCACAAGUCAUAUAUGCACAAAGGGG